rnacentral:rRNA from 1 species
CUUGGUCAUUUAGAGGAAGUAAAAGUCGUAACAAGGUCUCCGUAGGUGAACCUGCGGAGGGAUCAUUACCGAGUUCAUGCCCGCAUGGGUAGAUCUCCCACCCUAUGUUAUCAUUACCUUCGUUGCUUUGGCGGGCCGUCAGGCUUCGGCUAGGCUACCGGCUCCGACUGGUAAGCGCCCGCCAGAGGACCCUCAACUCUGAAUAUUAGUGUCGUCUGAGUACUAUCUAAUAGUUAAAACUUUCAACAACGGAUCUCUUGGUUCUGGCAUCGAUGAAGAACGCAGCGAAAUGCGAUAAGUAAUGUGAAUUGCAGAAUUCAGUGAAUCAUCGAAUCUUUGAACGCACAUUGCGCCCCUUGGUAUUCCGAGGGGCAUGCCUGUUCGAGCGUCAUUACAACCCUCAAGCACUGCUUGGUAUUGGGCCCCGCUGCUAACGCUGCGGGCCUUAAAAUCAGUGGCGGCGCCGCUGGGCUCUGAGCGUAGUAAAUUUCCUCGCUACGGAGUCCUGGCGGCGGUGGUCAUUAAUCCCCCAACUUUCUUAAGUUUGACCUCGGAUCAGGUAGGGAUACCCGCUGAACUUAAGCAUAUCAAUAAGCGGAGGA